ensembl:lncRNA
GUACACUGCCAUGGCAGCCCUCACCAUUAGCCCCGCCCACCUUCCAGGCAGGCCCCAGCCCCAUCUAAGCAUCCCUGAUCUCUGUUACUCAUGAUGUCUGCCUGCUCCCAGAUUUCACAUCAAUGCUGUCAUGCAGCCUGGCUCUUCACUCAGCAUAGUGACUGCAGGGUUCCUCUGAUGCUGUGUGCACCAAGAUUCAUUAUCUUAUUGCUGAGUAGGGUCCCAUUGUACGAAUAUGCCACGCUUUGUGUCUACUCACCCAUCUGGGUGGUUUCUGGCUCUUGGUGAUUACUGGGAAAGCUGCUCUGAACUUCUGUAAACAAGUUCUGAUGUGGAUGUGCGUGUGGACUCGGUCGCUUCAGUCGUGUCUGACUCUGCCACGCUAUGGACUGUAUGUUGCCCUCCAGCCUCCUCCGUCCAUGGGAACCUUCCAGGCAAGAAUACUGAAGACCACCUGGGAAGCCCUCUGGUGUGGACACAUCUUCUCAUUUCUCUUCCUUUUUUACCCAGGAGGGGAAUUGCCCGGUCCUGCGUUAGGUGUGUCUGUGGUGUGCCUUUGCUCCAGCCCCUCUGCAGGUUGGGCCAUGGCCAGCAGCGUUGCCACCUGCUCCGGAUCUCACCAAGAGUGGAGCCGGCCACAGUGCUUAGCGCACAUUCUUCCUCAUUGUACACCUUUCUCACCUUGUCUCCCGG